GACGAACGCUGGCGGCGUGCCUAAUACAUGCAAGUCGAACGAGAGCGACCGGUGCUUGCACUGGUCAAUCUAGUGGCGAACGGGUGAGUAACACGUGGGUAACCUGCCCAUCAGAGGGGGAUAACAUUCGGAAACGGAUGCUAAAACCGCAUAGGUCUUCGAACCGCAUGGUUUGAAGAGGAAAAGAGGCGCAAGCUUCUGCUGAUGGAUGGACCCGCGGUGCAUUAGCUAGUUGGUGAGGUAACGGCUCACCAAGGCCGUGAUGCAUAGCCGACCUGAGAGGGUGAUCGGCCACAUUGGGACUGAGACACGGCCCAAACUCCUACGGGAGGCAGCAGUAGGGAAUCUUCCGCAAUGGACGCAAGUCUGACGGAGCAACGCCGCGUGAGUGAAGAAGGUUUUCGGAUCGUAAAACUCUGUUGUUAGGGAAGAACAAGUGCUAGAGUAACUGU
rnacentral:rRNA from 1 species